CACUGUCGCCACUGCUGCUGCUGAUUCUUCGUCUGAAGAGUGCCGGACCUAUACAAACUUUUUUAACAUCAACCCUAAUGCGCGAUGGUACUGUUACAACGCAAGGACACACAUUUGUGAACCAGUGGAAGGGAAAUCCGUGAACGCUGGCAAACGGAACUGUUUUCCGACAGUGGAACUCUGCUACUGGCACUGUCGCGCACAUUCAGAUUGUUUACUUCCACGUGAAAUCGGGAAGAGCUGCAGAAACAAGAAGGAGUUAGCCUAUUAUUUUGACAGUGCCAAUCAGACAUGUACUUUGUUCCUCUAUAAUGGAUGUGGUGGCAAUUUCAAUAGGUUUGCGUCUCUGCAUGAGUGCCAUGUUAUUUGUCGAGGCAAUCCAUGCGUUACUCCUCUUGAGUUCAACCCAGAGUACUGCGACGAAAAAAUACCAUUUCAUUACUACAGUCAAUUCUCUGGUAAAUGCGCCACCAGUCAGCACUGCAACCGUCUUGGCACUAACUAUAAAACGAAGACUGACUGUGAAGAGGCAUGCAUACUUAAAAAGAAGCCCUAAGCUCAAAUUGAAGAAGAAAGAAAAACAAACUGCAAGACAAAGCCAACAGGAAAACUUUAUUCAAAAGGAACGCCUCACCUGUGCAGCGUUUCCACAACUAUUGAAAGUGCUGCGACGUUUUCUUUUUUUCCCUUUCAGGAAACGUGAAAAAGUCGGCGUGC